AAUUGGUGGUGUAGGGGUAAAAUCCGUAGAUAUCACCAAGAAUACCCAUUGCGAAGGCGAUCUGCUGGAACUCAACUGACGCUAAGGCGCGAAAGCGUGGGGAGCAAACAGGAUUAGAUACCCUGGUAGUCCACGCCCUAAACGAUGUACACUAGUUGUUGGGGUGCUAGUCAUCUCAGUAAUGCAGCUAACGCAUUAAGUGUACCGCCUGGGGAGUACGGUCGCAAGAUUAAAACUCAAAGGAAUAGACGGGGACCCGCACAAGCGGU
rnacentral:rRNA from 2 species